rnacentral:tRNA from 1 species
GGCGGGGUAGCUCAGUUGGUCAGAGCGUGGGAUUCAUAACCCCAAGGUCGUGGGUUCGAGCCCCACCCCCGCUACCA